rnacentral:rRNA from 1 species
UACGUAGGGUGCGAGCGUUAAUCGGAAUUACUGGGCGUAAAGCGUGCGCAGGCGGUUGUGCAAGACAGAUGUGAAAUCCCCGGGCUUAACCUGGGAAUGGCAUUUGUGACUGCACGGCUAGAGUGUGCCAGAGGGGGGUAGAAUUCCACGUGUAGCAGUGAAAUGCGUAGAUAUGUGGAGGAAUACCGAUGGCGAAGGCAGCCCCCUGGGAUAACACUGACGCUCAUGCACGAAAGCGUGGGGAGCAAACAGG